GGAUGGUUAGCUCCAUUCAUAAGGGGGGACUGGGGGUAUUUGAGGGCUCUCGGGGCAUGCACUAGAGCAGCUCGAAGCUGUGGUCUGUGGCCCAUGGGGGCUGUUAAAGACCCACCUGGCUGCCCACAUGAUACUGACUCCCCCCCACCCUUUGUUUCCAGCUGUUCCUAAAGAUACCCAGGUUUGUCCCUGCAAAGAGCAGCCUCACGUCUCUGUGAAACCAGCGAGAAACAAGGCUCUUGUAGCCACUACUGCGUAGGAGGAAGUCAGGAACGAGAAUGUGCCUCCUGCCACGCCCAGACGGAACCCCGCUUCCUUGUCAGCCAUUGCUGUGGUGCCACGCGCAGAGCCAUCUGUACUGUCAACUGAUAGACGUGUCUCCCACCAAGCAGCAGCAGCUGCCAACGUGCCUCCUCAAACGGACGAGAUCACGAAAUUUAAGAAAGUCACCAGCAGUCAGGACAUGCAACUUUCAACCUGCAGCUGCAACCUGCCCUCAGGGAGCGUAAGGCCUGCUGGGGAUUCCAGCCCCAUUCCCGGAGAGCGCGGUCAAGACAGCACCCUCCAGUUCUCCCUAGAACUGCAGACUCCCCUCCUCCAACCCCCUCCAGGUGCCUAUGACCAUAUCGCCUCCUGCCUCUCGUCUGAUUCUUCUGCCCUCCCCUCACGGCCCCAACAGUCCCUGCUCAGCAUGGUGUCCCUUGCGCCCAGCUGCGUUUCCAACUACUACCCCAUCUCCCUCCUUUUCUUCCUCUUCCCAAUUCAUUCAGUGCAUCAUUCACAGCCGCUGUCUGCAGCUCCAUUCAUGGCCCAGCCAUGCCCCUCAAAAGUUCCUCUGCACCCCCCCCGGGGGGUGCGCACACCAUAGUUUGGGGACCUCUGUCUCAUAGGCUCAUAGACUUAAGAUCAGAAGGAACCAUUAUGGUCAU